rnacentral:rRNA from 1 species
AUUGAACGCUGGCGGCAGGCCUAACACAUGCAAGUCGAGCGGAUGAAGGGAGCUUGCUCCUGGAUUCAGCGGCGGACGGGUGAGUAAUGCCUAGGAAUCUGCCUGGUAGUGGGGGAUAACGUCCGGAAACGGGCGCUAAUACCGCAUACGUCCUGAGGGAGAAAGUGGGGGAUCUUCGGACCUCACGCUAUCAGAUGAGCCUAGGUCGGAUUAGCUAGUUGGUGGGGUAAAGGCCUACCAAGGCGACGAUCCGUAACUUGUCUGAGAGGAUGAUCAGUCACACUGGAACUGAGACACGGUCCAGACUCCUACGGGAGGCAGCAGUGGGGAAUAUUGGACAAUGGGCGAAAGCCUGAUCCAGCCAUGCCGCGUGUGUGAAGAAGGUCUUCGGAUUGUAAAGCACUUUAAGUUGGGAGGAAGGGCAGUAAGUUAAUACCUUGCUGUUCUGACGUUACCAACAGAAUAAGCACCGGCUAACUUCGUG